UUGAAAAUGAAAAUUUGCGUGGAGAUUUAACUGAAGAUUUAAAUAUAGUAGAACCCUUAUUGCACAAAAGCAUCCAAGAAAAUAAACUGGUACCUGAAAAGAGUCCACAAUGAUUAGACGAAAAAUUUUCGAAUAAUCAACGUCCAAGGGAAAUAUUAAUAUCAAGCAUUCAGGGUGUAUCCCUCGUUGCUGCCGCGGAGAAAGGCAAUAUGAAUGUGAAGCAAAAAAAUUAAUUUAAAAGAAUCUUAGUAGCAGAAUUAACAAAAACACACAAUUCAUUUUAUCCACCAAACGAUGCCAAAACCGCAUUAGCGAAAGCUAUUGUUAAAGAUUUUCCUCGAUUAAGGAAUUUACAUAACAACGAUUGUAAAGGACUACUUUUAGAAACCCAAAAAUUCAGAAGAUCAGGAAUCUAUGGAAGAAGCGUCAGUUGACAGCACUUCAAACUGCAAACUACUUUCAGAAGAAGAACUGAGCUGCAAGAUAAAUUGGAUGACAUACACGACACCUACUAUGUAUAAGGAAGGUGAAAUUAUUCAAGCAUUGGCAGAAACUUUUGCAAAUAGACGUUCCUGAAUACAGAAGGAAAAUCCAAGCGCAAAUGAAAAUUUCCAAAAGUACCCACGACUUUUAGAUUUUGAUGGG